rnacentral:lncRNA from 1 species
GUACUGUGUAUAUGCUUAAGACUUAAGAAGAAGAAGUUUAGGAAAAAUCCUACAACAUGAAAAAAUAGGAAAAAAUGAAAAUUGAUUAGCAAGUUUAGAAAUGAACCUUGUUGGUAGAUUGAGGAAUGAUUAGGGAAUGAAAUUGAUUGGAGAAGUUAUGGAAUUGUUGUUGGGGGAUUCGCGGAGCAGAGAGAAGUGAGGUUCGGGAAAUGGUUGUUGAGAAACGGGAUAAAAGGUUGUAGAAGAACAUUGUUGAGGAUUUUGAAGAAGAAAUUGAUGAAUGAAGAAAGAAUAAAGGGUUGAGAUAUUUUUUGAAGAGUGAAUGAUGAAGAAGAAGGAAGAAGGGAUCUUUGUGAAAAACAGAGUAGAAUAGCGAAGAAGAAACUAGAAUACGUUAUGUCGUUAACUAAUUCCUUUAUUGACUAUUCUGCCCUUGAGUUUUAAAUUGACACUCAAUGCUACCGCCC